rnacentral:rRNA from 1 species
UACGUAGGGUGCGAGCGUUAAUCGGAAUUACUGGGCGUAAAGCGUGCGCAGGCGGUGCUGUAAGACAGGCGUGAAAUCCCCGGGCUUAACCUGGGAAUGGCGCUUGUGACUGCAGUGCUGGAGUGCGGCAGAGGGGGAUGGAAUUCCGCGUGUAGCAGUGAAAUGCGUAGAUAUGCGGAGGAACACCAAUGGCGAAGGCAAUCCCCUGGGCCUGUACUGACGCUCAUGCACGAAAGCGUGGGGAGCAAACAGG